rnacentral:rRNA from 1 species
UAACGCGUGAGGAACCUGCCUUUCAGAGGGGGACAACAGUUGGAAACGACUGCUAAUACCGCAUAAUAUAUGUUUGUCGCAUGGCAGAUAUAUCAAAGAUUUAUCGCUGAGAGAUGGCCUCGCGUCUGAUUAGCUAGUUGGUAGGGUAACGGCCUACCAAGGCGACGAUCAGUAGCCGGACUGAGAGGUUGGCCGGCCACAUUGGGAGUGAGAUACGGCCCAGACUCCUACGGGAGGCAGCAG